GUGGUUUGUCGCGUUGUUCGUGAAAUCUCACGGCUUAACUGUGAGCGUGCGGGCGAUACGGGCAGACUUGAGUACUGCAGGGGAGACUGGAAUUCCUGGUGUAGCGGUGGAAUGCGCAGAUAUCAGGAGGAACACCGGUGGCGAAGGCGGGUCUCUGGGCAGUAACUGACGCUGAGGAGCGAAAGCGUGGGGAGCGAACAGGAUUAGAUACCCUGGUAGUCCACGCCGUAAACGGUGGGUACUAGGUGUGGGUUUCCUUCCUUGGGAUCCGUGCCGUAGCUAACGCAUUAAGUACCCCGCCUGGGGAGUACGGCCGCAAGGCUAAAACUCAAAGAAAUUGACGGGGGCCCGCACAAGCGGCGGAGCAUGUGGAUUAAUUCGAUGCAACGCGAAGAACCUUACCUGGGUUUGACAUGCACAGGACGCCGGCAGAGAUGUCGGUUCCCUUGUGGCCUGUGUGCAGGUGGUGCAUGGCUGUCGUCAGCUCGUGUCGUGAGAUGUUGGGUUAAGUCCCGCAACGAGCGCAACCCUUGUCUCAUGUUGCCAGCGGGUAAUGCCGGGGACUCGUGAGAGACUGCCGGGGUCAACUCGGAGGAAGGUGGGGAUGACGUCAAGUCAUCAUGCCCCUUAUGUCCAGGGCUUCACACAUGCUACAAUGGCCGGUACAAAGGGCUGCGAUGCCGCGAGGUUAAGCGAAUCCUUUUAAAGCCGGUCUCAGUUCGGAUCGGGGUCUGCAACUCGACCC
rnacentral:rRNA from 1 species